rnacentral:tRNA from 1 species
UCCAGGGUAGCCUAGUGGAUAUGGCAUCUGCCCGGUAAGCGGAACAUUGUGGGUUCGAUUCCCAUCCCUGAAC